rnacentral:rRNA from 1 species
GACGGAGGAUGCAAGCGUUAUCCGGAAUGAUUGGGCGUAAAGCGUCCGCAGGUGGCAGUUCAAGUCUGCUGUCAAAGACCGGGGCUUAACUUCGGAAAGGCAGUGGAAACUGAACAGCUAGAGUAUGGUAGGGGCAGAGGGAAUUCCUGGUGUAGCGGUGAAAUGCGUAGAGAUCAGGAAGAACAUCGGUGGCGAAGGCGCUCUACUGGGCCACAACUGACACUGAUGGACGAAAGCUAGGGGAGCGAAUGGG